CUCAUGCAGAAAGGUGAAUGUUUUACAACCAUACUGUGUGUUGAUGGCAGUGGGUCUUCUUCCAUUCCUGAUGAUUUCAAUUCUUCUUCUCAGUGCUUAAGGUGAAAGACACAGCAAAUGCAGAGGUGGAAGUGAAGAGGGGAAGAGGAGGACAAAAUUAGCCUUUGGAUGUUGACCAAGAAUCCUGAUGGUGGUUACUUGCCAGACUACUGCACACACCCCAACUGGCACCUAAUGGAAUGGAGAGAAAGGGCAACUUCAUUUCUGACUCCUCUGGCUUUGGCUGAAAAUCAAGAUGCUGUAAUAGCACGAGUCUUAGACAAACUUAGACAAGACCAUGCUUUACCCUGUGGACUUCCCCAGUAAUCUUCAAGCGGCGUCCUGUAUAACUUAUUUUUAAAACUUUAACAAAUGGCUGCAGUGAACUUAUAAUGACUAAAUAUAACUGAAAGGAGGCUUAAGAAUUCUGAAGGACAAAGAAAACGUAACAUAACUUGAAUCUUCUGCUUACAAUCUUUUCAGGUUAGUUUCCGUUUUGUUUCUUGAAAUAACAUCAAAGAAGGUUUCCUAGAAAAGAAAACAAUAAAGCUGAGCCUAGAAGGAUGACAAAGAU
rnacentral:lncRNA from 1 species